ensembl:lncRNA
CUGGGCCUCACAUCCAUUUCCAACGUUUCCAGCAAAAUCUGGGGCACAAACUCUGUGCAGGCAGGAGCAGGCAGGCAGCACCCCGGGGCGGCGUGGGCUGCAUUUCCUGUGCCCGUGGCCGGCUCUGUGCUCACCAUCUGCACAGUUCCGUGCUGCUCUGGGCUCCUGCUGCUGGCUCGGAUCCCCCCUCACCCCGCACACACCAUGCUCGCUCACAGCACUCCUCCACGACUCGUCCUGCUCCCGCCCACGGCCGUGAAACCGGGGCUGGGGACCUGAGGAGGGUCAGCCGGCCGUGAGCAGGGCUCCACCCCCGCAGCCUCCAGCCCAGGCCCCACCGAGAGAGCCUCACGGAGGAAGGUCAAGGGCAAUGUGCACGCGGGCCUGUGACCUCCUGGAGCACACACCACUGGCGCCUUUCUGGACCAGCCCUACGUGCAGGACCCGACAGCCAGGCUCGGGGGGCCGUGCCCGGAACCUAAUCUGGAAUCCCCAGGCGGCCGGGGCCCAGACGGGGCUUUGUGCUGGGCUACUCGAGCGGAAAUCGCGCUCAGCCCGGUGCGAUCCUAUGAGGGAGCGAGAAGUUGAUGAAAAGCGGUUCUUUCCUGCUCUCCCUGCCCGCCUUUGGGGCGCGGCGUUUGCGCGUAGAAAUCCGGGCCUUCUUAGCAGGGCAGCGCAGAGAAACCGGGUCGUGUCUCCCUGAGAAGCCGUGCACGAAUCAUCGCGUCCGGGCACGGGCCCUGAUUGGGCUCCUUGAGGCUGAACCCCACGUCCUUAACCCUUCCUCAGCCCGGUCCCUGUGGUUUCAGAGGCUCUUUGAGGAUCAGAGAAAGAAAGAGCUGCUGAAAGAACAAAGAAACUCCCGGGAAGGAAUUGCACUCAAUGUUGUUGUCAGCUGCGGGAGGCAAGGGGUCGGGGAACAGCUGCGGAGGCGCCACAGCGGAGGGCGUGCGAGGUCGCCGACACCCGUGGCCGAGCUAGGUGGCCGCGUCCUUCAAAGGCACAGAGCUGCCUCCUGCCCCGUCAUCACCACCCUCCUGCCGGGGAGGCUCCCUCCACGCGGUCGGGGAACUUGCCCGAUUCCUUUGCUGGUGUUUGAGGGACGGACCCUCCGCAGAACUCAGACUCCGCUUGCAACCCGAGCCCAGGAAGGCCGCCGUGAUCUCGCACAGAAGCCAGCACCCCCUCAACAUGCGGCACCCGCCCCCCAACUCCACUUUCCUCUGGCAUCGGAUCCUGUCUACACCCAACUGAACUCCCUCUGACCCACGAGAAUGCUUCUGUCUCCCCCUUCCAGGGGGAGCGCCAGUUGGUGCAAGAAUUUCCAAGGUACAGAUUUCAGGAAGAAAUUCCAUCCCACUGCUUCCCCACCCGGUGGGUCCGGCCUCAGCCAGGACAGGAAGGCAUAGUCGCCCUCGACCGGAGAGGGUGGAGCCCCAACGGGCUCUUCGGCUUGAAAAUCGCUGUCUGUGGCCUCAAGUGUGUGUGUGUGUGUGUGUGGAUUUCAUGGCGAGGAGCCUCCAUGAAGCCUCUCCUUCUGUCCUGGGAUAAAGCAGGACAGGGAACGUCCCUCGUUCGCCUUCGCUCAUUCACCCCUUCGUAUACGGAGCAAGUGAUUUGCGGGUGCUCCUCUAGCACCCGGGACCCUGUGGUGAGUCGGGACACUACAUGGACCAGGUUCCGGGCAGCUCCUGGCAGAGCCGACUUUCGGGGGCACCCGCAGAUGGUAAAGAAGAGACUUUGGGUUUCGGGAGUGCCAGGAAGUGAGCCGGUGACAGGUGUGAGCAGAGCAGGUCACAUUAGCCUGCAGGUGGGGAGGGGUGGGCGACCGGGAGGGAGCUUGGGGGUGGCCAGGGCCGAGGUCAAAGCACCCAGACAGAAGGACCCCCUAGGAAGAGCGAGGGUCCCGAGAAAGGACACCCCACCAGGGUGGCUCAAGUUCUGCUGUCUAAGGAGGCGGCUGCUGGCUUGGGCCUGUGCACACAGAGAGGCAGAGCCCAGGCCUUGAAACUCCCAGAACCCAAACACCAUGAGAAGUUCAGGGACAGAAAGGAGGCAUUCGAUGGAGAAUCAAACGCCUGGGAGCCAGCGCUAAGCAAGACAGGCAGGGAGGCGGCCUGCACAGGGGGUCAGUCCUGGGCAGGCUGCGGACCUGCUCGAGCCCGCCCGUGUCUGUCCUGCCCGGUCCACCUGUCCGCUCUACAGCAGGGGCGUCUGAGUGCAGGGCUGGGACGUUCCGGGGCAGGCUGCCGUCAGAUGCCCGACACCGUCACGGCGAUGGCUGAAGGGCAACGCCAGUUCACGGGCAGAAAGGAUCCACCCCUCCACUCGCUCGUGAGCAGAGAGUUACCCGAGCAGAUGAAAACAGAAGCUUCCAGAAGGUCUCCCUCCCCAUCGCUUGAGAGUUGGCUUGCAGCCCCACGGUGCCAGGCCCUGCCAUUAACCUCCUGCGCUUUUCAAUUAGCAGCUGUGAGGGGUCCUUGGCAGGUGUCGGGGAUUUGGAGGGACGGGCCCCAGGGCAUCGCCCCAGGACGCCUUAAAAGGGUCUAAGUGUUCUGUUGGAGGGACGCCCAGGAAACAUCGAUCAGCUGCAGGUGGGGCGCCUACGUGCGGGGAGGCUUCCGGCCCCAGACCCCAUCCCUGCCUCAGGGAGAAGGGUUGUCAGUGGGGCCCGUUCAGGAGCCGCCACCCACGUGACUCUCUCCAGCAUCUUCUGCGCUUGGCUCCCCGUGGCGGGUGGAGAGUGUGGGACCAGCGACAUCACAACUCCCAGCCCAAGUGAAGGGAUUUGUGCCCCCCCCCCGCCAGUAAGGACAAUCCUGUUGAAUGAACAUGCUUGUGUCCGUGUGGCCACUAAGAAACCAGACCAGCACUCUCCACCUGUGAGCUACGUGGCCCUGAGCCCCCAGCCCUGAAUGUCACCGCUUCCAGAAUUUUCUGCACGUCCCAGAUGUGCCACAAAAGAGUCCCGGGACCUUUGACAGCUUGCUCAGCCUCCCUGGGACUCACUUUCCUCGUCAGACCCUGCAGAUAACGGAAGCCAUUUCAGGAGGGCAUUUGAGAGCACGUGGGGAGGAGAGCUCUGCCCCCACGUAAGGCUUGUCCCGUGUCUCCAGACCACCCCCCUCCCCGGGCGUGCAUUCGCGAAGAGGCAGGUGAGAGUUGCAGCUCGCAGCAAAUACAAAGGUCACGGGCGGAUGCUCGCAGUGAGUUUCCCCUGAGAGGUUUCAAGGCACUGAUCCUGGUGUGUCCCCACUGUCCCCGGGACCUCUGCGGCCCCUGGCCCCUCACCUCAGGGCAGAUCUGAGCUCUUGCCCCAGUGGUCUUUCCUCCAUAAAGAGGAGGCUUCUGUGGGCCACCUUGCGAUGCUGGCCCCUCCCUCAGGACGCCGGGGCUGGGAAGGCCCUGGAGCAGAUGUGAGGCCCCAGAGCUGCAGGGAGGGGCUCCCCUGGGGGUCCCGUCGGCGGGAACUGACUAGGCCUGUGCUGACUCUGGGGGGUCUGCAAAGGCCGGGUGCCCCUCAUCUUCCCCUGCUCUGAACAGACUUUCAGAAAUUCCCUUCAUUAAAAGACUACCCCCUGCCCUACCCCCCUCUCCCAUGCAGGGAGACGAAAUCCUUGGAGAACCGGUGGACCACAGGGCUGGGGCGGGGCGGGUGUGCCAGAGAGGGAGGACGAGCUCGCACCCCACCGGGUGGGGCCGAAGCUGGAGCAGGCUCCCCAACAGAGUACGAAACUCGAAACCUAAAAUCAGGCCUGAGUCCCUGAUGACUUAAGACAGAACGAGGGACACAUGGGGGGGCUCCGUCAGAGGCGCAUCCGACUCUUGAUUUCAGCUCAGGUCAUCAUAAUGAUCUCACAGUUCGUGAGUUCGAGCCCCGCAUGGGGCAACAGUCUGGAGCCUGCUUGGGAUUCUGUCUCUCCUCUCUCUGUCUCUCUCUCUCCAAAUAAAUACAAUUUUUUAAAAAUGUUUUUUAAUUAA